AGAGUUUGAUCCUGGCUCAGGACGAACGCUGGCGGCGCGCUUAACACAUGCAAGUCGAGCGAUGAAACUUUAACAGAACCCUUCGGGGCGAAGAUAAAGUGGAUUAGCGGCGGACGGGUGAGUAACACGUGAGUAACCUGCCUUAGACAUUGGGAUAGCCUCGGGAAACCGGGAUUAAUACCAAAUAAAAUCAUAAUGACACAUGUCAUAACGAUCAAAACUCCGGUGGUCUAAGAUGGACUCGCGUCCCAUUAGCUAGUUGGUAGAGUAAAAGCCUACCAAGGCGACGAUGGGUAGCCGGCCUGAGAGGGUGAACGGCCACAUUGGAACUGAGAAACGGUCCAAACUCCUACGGGAGGCAGCAGUGGGGAAUAUUGCACAAUGGAGGGAACUCUGAUGCAGCGACGCCGCGUGAACGAAGAAGGCUUUCGAGUCGUAAAGUUCUUUUAUAUGGGAAGAUAAUGACGGUACCAUAAGAAAAAGCCCCGGCUAACUACGUGCCAGCAGCCGCGGUAAUACGUAGGGGGCUAGCGUUGUCCGGAAUCACUGGGCGUAAAGGGUUCGCAGGCGGAAAUGCAAGUCAGAUGUAAA
rnacentral:rRNA from 1 species